rnacentral:pre_miRNA from 1 species
UGAUGAUGAUGAUGAUGAUGAUGAUGAUGAUGAUGAUGAUGUGUGGGAGUUUAAUUAGCACGUCUUCAUCAUCUGUAUUUUAUCAUCAUCACCAUGC